UACGUAGGGUGCGAGCGUUGUCCGGAAUUAUUGGGCGUAAAGAGCUCGUAGGCGGUGUGUCACGUCGGCCGUUGAAAACCCUGCAGCUUAACGUGUGGGCGUGCGGUCGAUACGGGCAUCACUGGAGUUCGGCAGGGGAGACUGGAAUUCCUGGUGUAGCGGUGAAAUGCGUAGAUAUCUGGAGGAAUACCGGUGGCGAAGGCGGCAUCCUGGACCAACACUGAC
rnacentral:rRNA from 1 species